rnacentral:rRNA from 1 species
AACGAACGCUGGCGGCAUGCCUAACACAUGCAAGUCGAACGAGACCUUCGGGUCUAGUGGCGCACGGGUGCGUAACGCGUGGGAACCUGCCCUUAGGUUCGGAAUAACUCCCCGAAAGGGGUGCUAAUACCGGAUAAUGUCUUCGGACCAAAGAUUUAUCGCCUUUGGAUGGGCCCGCGUUGGAUUAGCUAGUUGGUAGGGUAAAAGCCUACCAAGGCGACGAUCCAUAGCUGGUCUGAGAGGAUGAUCAGCCACACUGGGACUGAGACACGGCCCAGACCCCCUCCGGGGGGCCGCGGGGGGAAUUAUGGACCAUGGGCGGAAGCCCUGCCCCGCCACGCCCGGUUGGGUGUUAAGGCCUUUGGGUUUUAAACCCUCUUUCCCCCGGGUUAUAAUUGCCUGCCCGGGGGAAAUACCCCCCGCCUCCCCCCG